AUUAAACGCUGGCGGCAUGCCUUACACAUGCAAGUCGAACGGCAGCACGGGGGCAACCCUGGUGGCGAGUGGCGAACGGGUGAGUAAAGCAUCGGAACGUGCCCUAGAGUGGGGGAUAACGUAGCGAAAGUUACGCUAAUACCGCAUAUUCUGUGAGCAGGAAAGCAGGGGAUCGCAAGACCUUGCGCUCUGGGAGCGGCCGAUGUCGGAUUAGCUAGUUGGUGGGUAAAGCCUACCAAGCGACGAUCCGUAGCGGGUCUGAGAGGAUGAUCCGCCACACUGGGACUGAGACACGGCCCAGACUCCUAC
rnacentral:rRNA from 1 species